CUACAAUUAAACAUUCCAGCAUAAAUAUAAAAGAAAAUCAGAGAUGGGGAAGAUUGACUCAGGAGAGAUUGGCGAGGUAGAUCCUCACACUGAUAGUGCAAACAGCUUGCUUCUAAUUAAAUAUGCCACCGAGUCUCAAAGCAUUUGCUUUCUGCCGCAGAGAGAGGAAGCUGCUGAGAAUGUGAGGAAGAAAUGUAUCGCCCCAUCUCUCCGGCCGCAGGCUUCCUUUGGGCAUCUCAAGAUCCAGCCUUCAACGCGGUACGAGUCGGCGAAGGAGGACGCCCGCUUUCUGCUGGAAACCAUUAUUAAACGUGUGGGAAUCUAAGAGGACUUGAGUCGGCUUCCCUUCACAGGAGACGUUCAAGUGAAAAGCCGCUACUUUUUUCCCUACCGCUUCUUGGUGGAAUAUUGCCGGAAGAUGGUGUGGAGCUGUAGAGGGACUGAGGCGGGUGGGAGCAGCCGCGCAGCGAGCACUCUGAGCGGGCACACGGAGCGAGUGGACGCUGAUGGAUCAUGAGAGCGGCCGCCGGAGGAAAGGGCAGCCGGGAAGAGCGCUCGGUCGCCGGGUGCGCAUGUGAGGAUCCUCCCGGGAGGCAGACGGAACUCUGGAUGUGUCAGUCAAACUGAGUUGGAAACGAGGACUGUGAGCGACACCACAGCGUGUAAGUUUCUUGCCUGUAAAACUCUGCUCUGCUUGGGGAGAUAAAACGGCCCAAAUGAAACGAAGACGCACGUCAAGCAUGGCGGUGAUAAUUGGAUUGUGUGGACACCUGUAUGAGUGCAGUAUAUCCAGGGGAUUAGAGAACGGGAUGGCUUUUACAGGUUCUGCCCAAACCUGUGAGCUGAAUUCUCCUGAUUCGUCAGCUCGCGGAUGACCAGAUCUGAGGACACUGGUGUCAGCGAACUUCGAGCAUCAACUUUGACCUCUCAGUAAAUUUAGCUGGACCCAUGCGUUUCACAGGUAUAUCAUCCAUAUUUAAACACAAGCAAACAACAGCUGGAAGUUGACAGUACACGUUCUCCGUUGUGAGAGACAGGAGCCUCUUUCUCUGUUAAUUGAUUGGGUGUUGAGUGGGCGGAAAAGGCAGAGCUGAAGCCCCAAAGCGCAGCGCCUGAAUUAAAACUUCAAUCCCCCAUAUGGAGUCCCUGCGCUGUAGGCCUUCGAUGGGGGAAGGGGAUUGACCCUGCUGUUCAACUCAUCUCUUUCAACGUGAGAACAGUUUUGAAGGAUCCCUUGAAACACGUUUAUUUUGUAUGGCGUCAACAAGACGGCAGGAGUUCAAUUAUCUCUCCCACAGAAGGUUUGAUGGAAAGAACCUUGCAGGAACAACCAGAGAACAAGUUUAUUUCUUAGAUAGCUUAUGAGACUUUUUUUCUUAAGCUUGGACUAUUUUCACUCUUGAUUCAAUCCUGAAUGUGGGCCAUACACUCAGAAAUAAAGGUACAAAAGUUGCCCCUGGGCCAGUACUCUUUCCAAAGGUACUAGGUACCAAUAUAUACCUUCAAGGUACUAAUAUGCUACUUGUAGGGGUACAUGUACAAAGGUGCACCCUUUAAAAAGGUACUGCCCCAGCGACAGCUUUUGUUGUGUAUUAUUUGAUUCUGUACCACGGCACAAGUGUUAUUAAUGUGAAUAUUAUUGGCAGCUGUUUACUACUGUCACUAGGUAACGACUCAUGAGGAGAAGAUGCCAACUUACAUGCUAUUUUAUUUAUUUAUUUUUUAUUUUUUUGGAUUCAUUAAAAUAUGCACUGAAAUAAUCGCAUCUGUCUGCCAGAAGAAUGAAUUGCUUCAACUUUAACAUGACUAACAGCAAUGGGAAAUGCAUGAUAUUAUAAUAGGCAAAUUAUAUUUCAUUAUUAAUGGUUCAUUUACACAAUUUACUUUGGACUGCUUUUAAACUACAGAUCCAAAAAUAUCUUGCAUUUUAAAUAAAUAUAUUGGCAGUUAUGUGUUUUCAUGUAUACAAAACAUUUCAUAUUGUUUGUUAAAUUAAGUGUGUUUUUUUUAAAGACAAUUAAAAAUAUAUAAUUUUUUAAGCAAAUU